GAUGAACGCUGGCGGCGUGCCUAAUACAUGCAAGUCGAGCGAACAGACGAGGAGCUUGCUCCUCUGACGUUAGCGGCGGACGGGUGAGUAACACGUGGAUAACCUACCUAUAAGACUGGGAUAACUUCGGGAAACCGGAGCUAAUACCGGAUAAUAUAUUGAACCGCAUGGUUCAAUAGUGAAAGACGGUUUUGCUGUCACUUAUAGAUGGAUCUGCGCCGCAUUAGCUAGUUGGUAAGGUAACGGCUUACCAAGGCAACGAUGCGUAGACGACCUGAGAGGGUGAUAGGCCACACUGGAACUGAGACACGGUCCAGGCGACUACGGGAGGCAGCAGUAGGGAAUCUUCCGCAAUGGGCGGAAACCUGACGGAGCAACGCCGCGUGAGUGGUGAAGGUCUUCGGAGCGUAAAGCUCUGUUAUUAGGGAUGAACAAAUGUGUAAGUAGCUAUGCACGUCUUGACGGUACCUAAUCAGAAAGCCACGGCUAACUACGUG
rnacentral:rRNA from 1 species